CGGAACGUGCCCUCUGGACGGGGAUAGCGGCGGGAAACUGCCGGUAAUACCCGAUGAACUCGAGAGAGCAAAGGUGUGAUUCCGCCGGAGGAGCGGCCGACAUGGUAUUAGCUAGUUGGCGGGGUAACGGCCCACCAAGGCUGUGAUCCCUAGGGGAUGUGAGAGCAUGAUCCCCACCAUUGGGACUGAGACACUGCCCAGACACCUACGGGUGGCUGCAGUCGAGAAUCUUCGUCAAUGGGCGAAAGCCUGAACGAGCGACGCCGCGUGCGGGAUGAAGGCCCUUGGGUUGUAAACCGCUGUCGAGGGGGAUGAAGGCUGGAAGGUACUCCUUCCAGUUUGACAGAGCCCUGGAGGAAGCACGGGCUAAGUUCGUGCCAGCAGCCGCGGUAAUACGAACUGUGCGAACGUUAUUCGGAAUCACUGGGCUUACAGGGUGCGUAGGCGGCUAUUCAGGUCAGGUGUGAAAGCCCUCGGCUCAACCGAGGAACUGCGCUUGAAACCGGAUGGCUCGAGUCAGCUAGAGGUACACGGAACUUCCAGU
rnacentral:rRNA from 1 species